UUUUCUCUGGGGACGUGUUUAAAAGGAAAAAAAGCAAAACACCUUGAGUAAAACGGCGUUUUCGCCACCCGUUUUUCACGUGCAUACCGUCGUUGUCGUGCACCAUAGUUCUGGUGCUUCUUGGUGAGCUCAUAGUUCGUUUCAGAGCUGUGGUGUUUUGGGUUUGUUGUUUCUUUGUUUUACUGAAUGCUGAACAAAGAAACUGAAAUACCUCAGAUGUAUUUUCACGGAUUUUUUUAUUUAUUUUUUUUUUAUUUUUUUCCAAGAUGGAGAACUUGAAGGACUUUAAGGAAAACACACAAGGUAAAAGCACAUAUUUGCCUCCCAUGUGCUGCAGAUGUAUCCCAACAAAUAACUCUGGUUUUCAUUUCCCUUUUAUCACCAAAUGUGAUGCCUGUGAGGCCUCAGGCACAAGCAGAGCCCUCUGUGUGCAGCUCCCAGCCUCGUGCUGGCUGCCCUCAGGUCCCCACGGCUGCAGAACCACCUCACCCUCUGCUCCAGAUGUUAUAAUGACUGUCUGAAGAGAUGCAGUGCAACUGGGACUCAGACUAAAACAUCUCUGAAGAUGAGGCCUCCGAAAUCUAACAAAGUAUAAAAUUGGAGUAACUGACAAGGUUGGUCUGUGUUUUCCUACUUAUGUUCAAAAUGGAAUUUGGGAAAAGCUUGUGCAUACUGGAGCCUUCUAAUGCUAUGAUGCACAGUCAUGAGACAGUUUUUUGUAUAUAGAUUAUUAGUAUUAAAAUUUCUUGGCAAUACUGGCUAGAGAAAUGUGUAUUCAUUGGAAGAGAUUUUAACAUGGAGAAUAAGCGAGGUGAGCAACCACUUAUAAUAACUGUAGAUUUUAUGGGACAAUAAUGUGUGAAAUAACUGUUUUACAUGAAUGAUAGAUAUGUAAUUCAGCAUAAGCUACCUGCAAAAAAAUACGUAAACUUCAUGCAUUAUUCCACAAUCUGAGGAAAACUGAUGUAGUUUUAUAAUUCCAGUUAUUAAAAAAUACUUG
rnacentral:lncRNA from 1 species